CAGCUCCGGUGCUGCAUCAGUGAGCCCGAGCACUCCUCUAUCCUUUAGCUUUCAUUUCCGCACCGGUGCUGCGCCCAGGCAUUCUGACAAAGCUGAUCCUUUUCCAAUCUGGCCUGACGCGGCUCUGCAUAAUUGCGCUCUGCUGGCCACCUGCGCCCCCAGCGGCAGUCCCGACCCUGCAACAGCGAGCAGUUAUUGAAUAUCUGGUGUGUUCGCGGAAGCGUGACAACUGAUUCUAGAUGUCUGAAUACAGAAGUAGAAGGGCUCUGUGAACCGGUCCCUGAGGACACAAAUACCACAAGACCUGGCCCCCAACUCUGAUAGUUCACAGUCCAUGGGGUAAUCAGACUGGAGCAACUGUGACACGUAUAACAGUGAGAAUGCGUGCAAGGCACAGAAGUAAAAGGGAGUAAUUCUUUCAGGAGAGUGUUCAGGGAGGUAAUGUGUGACCUGAGUUUUAAAAAAUGAAUACAAAUUUGCCGGCUGGAUAAGAGCAAAGAAGAGCAUCCUGUUAGAGGAAUGUUCUGCAAGUUAGAGUUUGUGAACUUGCAGAAGAUGAACUAGAGGGAAAUGGACCAAGAAGGAACCAGAUGGACUUUGAUAGUUCUGCUAAUCUCCUUCCGCCUCCUUUACAGCCACCUUAAAUAAGCAAUCAACGCAAAAAUGGUGAGCUUGCUGGGUGGGCUCCAAGACAAGUGUGUACCCAAUCCCCAAGCCCCUCUAAUCCUGUGUAUUAACUGGAGCUGCCACUGGGGGGUGUGGGGCUUCAGGGACAAAGGGAUUAAUAAGUAGUCUAGAAGGCUGGGACAGGAACAAGAAUACCCUGGGUAAAAUCGUAAACAGUGUCGAAUGUCAUGCUAAAAGGCUUAACCCUAAACGUUAUCGUGUAGAGCAUGCAAGCUGGUGGCCGUGAGAUUAAAAAAAAAUCUUAGGGACUUGUUUCAGCCUUACAACGUUUUAAAAGUCAGCACCUUCCUAGCAUCUCUUGGGAGAAUCAGAAGAUGUGAUAUACUGGAUUCAUGAUCCUCCAAUGAGCUGGCUCUGGGUUACAACCUCCUCCUCUAAACCAGGCAAGGGCUCUAGGUUUUUUCUCAGUCCCCCGACUCUCUUUCAUCUCCUGGAGCCUUUCUGGUCUCUGCCCGAAUUUCAGCACUCCCCUGGCAGGUAACCAGGAGCCACUGGUUUUUGGUAAGAGAGUGCCCAAUGGUAGAGAAUUUGAAUUGAGAAAACUGUCAGGUGAUUGGAUUUGAGAGGAGGGCAUCUCUUUUCUCUGAGAGAUGGAGCUGGGUUGUGGCCUAAGAAGAACACCGAAUCCUAGACCUUGAUUUUAUGACCUUAGAGGGCCCUUUGUGUUCAUCCCCUGUAGAACUGUGCCAUAUUCUUUUAUGUCCAACAAACACCUAUUCAGUGGAAGAAAAAAUAGAGAAUUGUAGGGGGAUGUGUGGUAGAGGGAAUAAAAAAAUAGGCACCGUCGCUGACCCCAGAGCUGGAUGUAAACUACUGCAAAUCCCUGUCCAUAUUAUAAUAACAGUUUAUGGGGAAAUGAAAAAGAGAAACCCUGAAUUCCAUUCCUACCUCCAACAGCUGCUCCCCUCCAUUGCUGAUGACCCACCAGAGUUGCUCUUGGUCUCCAUUUCUGCAGCAGGAUGGAAGAAAGAUUAUGUAAUGCCAAUCAAGUGCCAGACAGAGCUUACAGCUUACCGGAGGAGAUGAGUAAGUAACCAGACAGUGUCCAAAAGAUGGGAUGUUUUGUGAUGGUAAAAACAGAAGUGUGUCAAAGAAGACUUCCUCAGGAAGGUGACAUCUAAUCUAAAACUCCCUCGGAACCGGAAAUACUUCCAGCUGGGAGAAGCAGCAUGUACAAAGUUCCUGAGGAGAGUGAGUUUGUGGCAAGCUUUGGGAAACUACCAGAAAUCUGGUAUGCUGGAAUUAUAGACUUCAACGUGAAGAUGGUGGAGGAGAAGCCAGAUGAUAGAGAACUUGGAAAACUGGAUAGUUUCUAGAGACAUUUUCUUCUUGAGACCAAAUCUACUUCCAAUUACUAUUUCAAGUCCUUAAGUGGUUGCCCCCAACAUUUUCUUGUCUAUUUUAAUCUUGCAUGCAACUUUUCUCAUACACGUAACCUCAUAAACGUUUUAAAUAGAAAAUUUGGUAAAGAUUUAUUUGAUUUUAUUACAUAUUAAAUUAACAUAUAAUUGGUAAAUUAUUCCUGUUCUUAGAUUCAAUGGCUGGUUCAGGCAGUAUUAUAAAGAGCCCUGUCCUUAAGAUUCUCAAAAUAUGUAACUAUAUGUGGCAUGUUGUGUUUUUCAAAGAUAGUUACAAUGAUAUCUGUUAACCCACACUCUUUUUAUAAUAGGAUUUGACACUCCUCCCAAUGAGAGGUCAGACCUAUAUUUCUUCCCCUUGAAUUUGGAUGGGCUUGUGACUACCGUAGUAUUGAUACUAUGUGAAUUUUAAGGCUAAAUCAUCAAGGGCAAGACUCUCUUUUGUUUUUUAGGCAACUUGCCUUUGGAGCCCUGAGCUCCCUUUUAAGAAGUCUGCGGCCACCGUGCUGUGAGGAAGCCCAGGUCACAUGGAGAGGUUGUGUUUUGUAGUUCUGGCCUACAGCCUCAGUUGAGUUUCCAGCUAAUGGCUAGCAUCAACUUACAGACAGGAAUAAAUGCACUUCCAGAUGACUUCUGGACCCAGCCACUAAGUUCCCCUCAGACUUUGAGUCCUUGCACUUGAUGUUCCCAACCUCAUGGAACAGAGAUAAGCCAGAGAUAGCCACACUAUCCCAUCCUAAUUUUUGUCCUAUGCUUGUCCCAUAAGCAUAGGACAAAAAUGGUGCCACAUACUAACCCUGAUGUGCUCAGGGGAGACCUGACUGAAAGAAACCACAUAGGAAGAUCUGAACAUAAAAAUUCCUAUGGGUCAUCGUGGAUAGUCAUGUCUGAGGCCUAGAACUUCCUUGACGAAGGUUCAUCUUUACCUUAACUGAACCUGUCUAUUGUCCUUUUAAUCAAUGACAACAUACCUUUGAAAUGUUAGAGUAAUCCCCUUUUCCAGAUCUCUCAGGACAUAACUGCUGCACCAGGACAGGAGAUCAUAGAACCCCUCGUUGUUAUCUUAUACCCUGAAUACUAUCUCUAUAUGCCAUAAAUGUUAAUUAUUAACUAUCCUGUACCCACCAAUUAAAAGAAGCGUGUGUGUCUCUCAGCUUUACUCUUUAUCUAGUCCCAGAGAUUUCCCUGCUUUGCUUUCUCUCACAUCAAUCUAUCAUCGAUCGAUUUCAUGUAACCUCCUUACCUCUUCUCUUUUGAUUCUAAUUAUAAAAGAAGCUACAAAACUGC